UGGCUCAGUUGGUAGAGCAUGGCGCUUGCAACGCCAGGGUUUUGAGUUCGAUUCCCAC
rnacentral:tRNA from 1 species